rnacentral:rRNA from 1 species
UACGAAGGGUGCAAACGUUGCUCGGAAUUAUUGGGCGUAAAGCGCACGUAGGCGGAUUUGCCGGUCAGGGGUGAAAUCCCGGGGCUCAACCUCGGAACUGCCUUUGAUACUGCAAAUCUCGGGUCCGGAAGAGGUGAGUGGAAUUCCUAGUGUAGAGGUGAAAUUCGUAGAUAUUAGGAAGAACACCAGUGGCGAAGGCGGCUCACUGGUCCGGUACUGGACGCUGAGG